ensembl:lncRNA
GUGUCAGCGAGAUCCUGCACUUCAUCAUCUGUCCAAGAAGAGGACAGCAAAGCUGAGCAAAGUCAGAGAACUGAGCCAUCCAAGGAAGGUCCUUGCAGUUCUGUGCACACAGAUGAAGCUGGACCAACGAGCAAGGCAGUCGCUCUGUACAUUCGUGCUGAAGAAGACCCAGGAAGGUGAUACUGCAGCCUGACUCUGGUUUGAUUCUUAGAGGAACUGCUUGUCUUUCAAGUAGCUGCAAUCAGCUCCCAAGGCUUUAUAUAAUGCGGCAGCAAACUCAGAAUACGGUGCAUAAAGUUUUCAUAGCUGCAUUAGACUGGAAAACAUCCUGGCCCACAUUCCAACUCCUGCCAUCUCCAGUUCUGCUGCUGAGAGCUCCCAACCUCAGUCUCGGUGACAGCAUGCACCAUAUACAAAGUGGGACUUUUAAGCUAAGGACAAACGUGAUGCUGUUGCCUGUGUUUUCCUUAGAACCACAGAACGGCUUGAGUUGGAAGGGACCUCAGUCAUCAUCCAGUUCCACUCCUACACCAUGGGCAGGGUUGCCAACUUACUCAGGCAUCUUUAUGGGCACAGAGCAGCAUAUGCCUCUGCCCUUCACAAUGACUUUCUUCAAGCACUUGCAUUUGAAUGUUGCUUUCCCCUUUCUGGAUGAUUAUCUGUCCUCUGCUGUAAGGAGUCACAGUCACCUGGAAGCUGAAAAGACCUUCAUAUCCUUGAAUUUGAUACCAGCUUAGAAAUUGCUGCUCUUUCUCAGAGAUGAAGACAUAUACCAUUCUGAACCACAUUUGAGGGUGUUUCCAACUAAGCUUGCUGAGGGAUGAAGCUAUAAGGACUCAUUGCCAAGAAAUGCUAGUGGAUACACACCUUCACCCCUCUCGCAGAGAACUAUUGAUGGGCUCACGUGGCUGAGAUAUUUAUGAAGAAACUUCUUGUACAAGACCUUGUCCCUGACGAGCUUUUAAUGAUGAGGAAGCGACUCAACAAUCGAUGCUCAAGAGGUUGAAAUAAGAAAGCCACUCCAGCCACAUAGGAACCAUUGCAGAACUCCAGGGAUGCUUCAUUGCAGCAUGACAAAAGUUAGGAGCGAUGCUGUGGAGCGAUGGGGCUCUGUGGAGGAACAAAGCAAGAAUUCUUGUGCUCACUGCUGUAUUCUCCUUCAACACACACUGAAAAAUAAUGGUGGAAAUAAAAAGAAUAAAC